rnacentral:rRNA from 1 species
AUUGAACGCUGGCGGCAGGCCUAACACAUGCAAGUCUAACGAGUGGCGGACGGGUGAGUAAUGUCUGGGAAACUGCCCGAUGGAGGGGGAUAACUACUGGGAACGGUAGCUAAUACCGCAUACCAUCGGAUGUGCCCAGAUGGGAUUAGCUAUGAGGUGGGGUAACGGCUCACCUAGGCGACGAGCCCUAGCUGGUCUGAGAGGAUGACCAGCCACACUGGAACGGAGACACGGUCGAGACUACUACGGUAGGCAGCAGUGGGGAAUAUUGUACAAUGGGCGCAAGCCUGAGGCAGCCAUGCCGCGUGUAUGAAGAAGGCCUGCGGGUGGUAAAGUACUUUCAGCGAGGAGGCGUGACUCGCAGAAGAAGCACCGGCUAACUACGUGCCAGCAGCCGCGGUAAUUC